UACGGAGGGUGCAAGCGUUAUCCGGAUUCACUGGGUUUAAAGGGUGCGUAGGUGGGCAGGUAAGUCAGUGGUGAAAUCUCCGAGCUUAACUCGGAAACUGCCAUUGAUACUAUCUGUCUUGAAUAUCCUGGAGGUGAGCGGAAUAUGUCAUGUAGCGGUGAAAUGCUUAGAUAUGACAUAGAACACCGAUAGUGAAGACAGCUUACCAAGCUUCAACUGACGCUGAGGCACGAAAGUGUGGGGAUCAAACAGG
rnacentral:rRNA from 1 species